AUUGAACGCUGGCGGCAUGCUUUACACAUGCAAGUCGAACGGUAACAGGCCUUCGGGUGCUGACGAGUGGCGAACGGGUGAGUAAUGCAUCGGAACGUACCCAGAGGUGGGGGAUAACGCAGCGAAAGCUGUGCUAAUACCGCAUGUGAUCUGAGGAUGAAAGCGGGGGACCGAGCAGCAAUGUUUGGCCUCGCGCCUUUGGAGCGGCCGAUGUCGGAUUAGCUAGUUGGUGGGGUAAAGGCCUACCAAGGCGACGAUCCGUAGCUGGUCUGAGAGGACGACCAGCCACACUGGGACUGAGACACGGCCCAGACUCCUACGGGAGGCAGCAGUGGGGAAUUUUGGACAAUGGGCGCAAGCCUGAUCCAGCAAUGCCGCGUGCGGGAAGAAGGCCUUCGGGUUGUAAACCGCUUUUGGCAGGAACGAAACGGUGUCCGCUAAUACAGGGCGCUAAUGACGGUACCUGCAGAAUAAGCACCGGCUAACUACGUG
rnacentral:rRNA from 1 species